rnacentral:rRNA from 1 species
UACGGGGGGUGCAAGCGUUAUCCGGAUUUACUGGGUGUAAAGGGAGCGUAGGCGGUUCAGCAAGUCAGAAGUGAAAGCCCGGGGCUCAACUCCGGGACUGCUUUUGAAACUGUUGAACUAGAUUGCAGGAGAGGUAAGUGGAAUUCCUAGUGUAGCGGUGAAAUGCGUAGAUAUUAGGAGGAACACCAGUGGCGAAGGCGGCUUACUGGACUGUAAAUGACGCUGAGGCUCGAAAGCGUGGGGAGCAAACAGG